GAUUGUUGUUAGGAAAAAACACGUAAUUUUCUCAUUUACGAUACAUUUUUCUAAAAACCGUAGAGUGGCGCCACUGCAGUAUUUGUUUGGUCGACAUACCACGUUGGUUGUAGUGAAUGCACCUUGCAGUAAGGCGGUAUUUGAGUUAUAUUUUAGAAGUGCCUAGACAAAAUCUGCUCCUUGUCGUGUGCAGUAACCAUCGCAAACCCUCCGGACUUGUGUAACGCCGUUAGUUCGCCGUGUGUUUCGUGCGAUCUACCAGUGUCGACAGUGAGUGUCUUACUACAGCGCCCGUCCGAGCUGCCUUUGUUCUGCCGAGCUGCCUGCCCGCGCUCUCGUGAAAAGUCUGGUACUGGAGCUUCGAAUCGUAGUGUAUGGAAGACUGUUGAAGGUUGUGCUUUUGUGGAGCUGGAGUUCAUCGGAAGUUCUACAGUGCUUGCGCCAGAAAAACGUCGGUGCCUCGGUACCUUUGAGACGAAGGAGCGUUGGCCAAGUCUUUUUGAAAGGCUAUGCGGAUUCUGGAGGCAUCCCUACAUCAAGCAGGAACCUGCUGCACUGCUGGAAGCUGGACAGCACGACAAUAAAGCACGUGAUCUGUGUGCUUUCUCAAAGGUAGACAUCGGCGACGGUGUAUAUGUUGAAAAGUGCCUGCUGAAGAGGCUGCGCCUGGAUGCUAACAACUCAGGCUUUCAGUUCGCGGGGGGCCUCCUUAAGGCUCCUUUUACAAAAGAAGAGGUUGAAGGGAGGCGCUACACAUGGAUGCGCAGCGAUUGUUUGUGACAUCGUCACUGCUGGCAGGCCUGGCCUGCCUUUUCGCUUCGUUCUGGGUCUUCCACGUUAUCUACUCGAAAACGCCCACAGGGUUUUGACAUUUAUUGAGCACUGCUUUCUGGAUUUGAGCUACACAAAGCUGCAGGUGAAAGCAUUGGAUUUAGUCAAUAUUUACUAGAACUAUUGCUAGGCAAAAAAAUUUUCAGAUGCAUAUCCUCAAGAAAGUUUCUGUAAAAAUUAUUUUGCCUAACAAAAGCACUCGUGGGUUCUGUGGCUGGCAGCUUGCCCAAGCCAUGUAGCACAGUGCUUGCUUUAAAGGGACACGAAAGGG
rnacentral:lncRNA from 1 species